rnacentral:rRNA from 1 species
UACGGAGGGUGCAAGCGUUAUCCGGAUUCACUGGGUUUAAAGGGUGCGUAGGUGGAUUUAUAAGUCAGUGGUGAAAGCCCCGAGCUCAACUUGGGAAUUGCCAUUGAAACUGUUCGGCUCGAGUACGAGAGAGGUGAGUGGAAUUCCCAGUGUAGAGGUGAAAUUCGUAGAUAUUGGGAAGAACACCGGUGGCGAAGGCGGCUCACUGGCUCGUUACUGACGCUCAGGCACGACAGCGUGGGGAGCAAACAGG